UAGGGAAUCUUCCACAAUGGACGAAAGUCUGAUGGAGCAACGCCGCGUGAGUGAAGAAGGGUUUCGGGUCGUAAGGCACUGUUGUAUGGGAAGAACAGCUAGAAUAGGAAAUGAUUUUAGUUUGACGGUACCAUACCAGAAAGGGACGGCUAAAUACGUGCCAG
rnacentral:rRNA from 1 species